UCUAGAAUGAGAGAGUAAUUUGUAGGAAUUAUUCUCAUUAAAAAUUCAUAAUAUAGGUACAAGGCAGUAUAUAUAGAUUAUAGCUGAAGAGAAAAGGAAAGAAUAAAGUAGGAAAGAAUAAAUUAAAUGCUAACUUCUAAGGAAACUAAAUCUCCUAGAAUAUUCACACAUUUACACCCAAUAUCUCCUAGAAUACAACAGAAGAAAAGGAAAGAAUAAAGUAGGAAAGAAUAAAUUAAAUGCUAACUUCUAAGGAAACUAAAUCUCCUAGAAUAUUCACACAUUUACACCCAAUAUCUCCUAGAAUACAACAGAGUUGACUAGGCAGAUUUUGGAAACUUUC